rnacentral:rRNA from 1 species
AUUGAACGCUGGCGGCAGGCUUAACACAUGCAAGUAGAACGAGUGGCGGACGGGUGCGUAGUGCUUGGGAAACUAACUUCUGGAGGGGGAUCACUACGGGCAACUGUAGCUAAUACAGCGUACCAUCGGAUGGGCCCAAGUGGGAUGAGGUAGUUGGUGAGGGAAAGGCUAACCAAGCCGACGAUCUCUAGCUGGUCUGAGAGGAUGACCAUCCACACUGGGACUGAUACACGGCCCAGAAUCCUACGGGUGGCAGCAGUGGGGAAUAGUGCGCAAUGGGGGCAACCUGACGCAGCCAUGCCGCGGGAAUUAAGAAGGCCUUCGGUUUGUAAAGUUCUUUCGGUAGCGAGGCGUUAACUACAGAAGAAGCACCGGCUAACUCCGUGCCAGCAGCGGCGGUAAUUC